AAGCACACGUAUCGCGAAUUUAAUUAAAAUGACAGUUGAUUUUGGCAUUUAUUUCGACAUUAAGUCAUAUACAUAUACGAAAAAGUAUACCAGUAGACAAAUAGUAUUUAAAAAAACAGGGUAAAUAAUUAUCAUCACAUGGAGCUCGAGUCUCAUCUUAGAUUUGAUUUGUUGGGGCAUAAUGGUUGAAAAACGCAGUAAACUAUCUUAAAACAAUACGAUUCCAAUAUCAUUUAAGUAAUUUGCUCCUUGAAACCCGGCUUAGAAUGAAAAAAGUUUGAAGACUCAUACUUAUUGAUUGGAAUUAAUUUUCAUUAUGCUGGUAUUAAUAUUGCAUACCUAUUUGACGUACUUUUGUACGUCAACGUCAAUGAACUGUGAUGACAAUGUUGUGAUCUUGUAUUUAUGCUAGAGAACUUUUGAUCUUCAAAUAUUACCUAUUAAUACGGAACAUUAUGUAAAUAUUUCGUGUACUACUUGAAAAUCGUGCAGUGGUACACCUAUUUUGUUGCUGUGAGGUCCGUCUAAGAUAGAUGUAUAAUGCGGUUACGUGCUGUUCUGCAAACCUUCAUGAAAUCAAGAAUAAAUAAACGGCUAUGGUCUAGCCUCAGCGAGUUUUUGCGGCUUGUGAGGCCGAGAUAUACAUUAUACAUACUGGCCUACGAGGCUUACAGCCCAAAACCACUGCGGUGCCUGGUUUGUGAUUGCCUAUGUAUCGAGUGUUAUACUAAUUUACUAUAAAAUAAAACAAAGUUUUUCGUUCAAUGAUAUUCUGUGCAUAUUUAAUUUUAUACCUCGUCGAUGACAAACAAGCAUACGGCCCGUCUGAUGAUAAGCAAUCUUCGUAGCCUUUGGAUGCCUGCAACUCCAUGCGCGUUGCCGAGUCUAACACUCCGCACCCCUCGUUGAUAACUGGCAACCAUACUCACCGGCAGGAAGGACACUAUGAGUAGGGACUAGUGUUAUUUGGCUACGGUUUUCUGUAAGGUGGAGGUACUUCCCCAGUUGGGCUCUGCUCUAGACCUGGAAUGACAUCCGCUGUGCUGUGCUCUACCACACAAAGCAAGAUGACAUUCACAGUGCCCAUACCUCUCUUUUGAACGUAGUUUACGAACGUACCCGCGUCC